UACAGAGGUCCCAAGCGUUGUUCGGAUUCACUGGGCGUAAAGGGUGCGUAGGUGGUCGGGUAAGUCUGAUGUGAAAUCUCCGAGCUUAACUCGGAAAUGGCAUUGGAUACUAUUCGGCUAGAGGGUUUGAGGGGGGACUGGAAUGACUUGGUGUAGCAGUGAAAUGCGUAGAUAUCAAGUGGAACACCAGUGGCGAAGGCGAGUCCCUGGAAAACUCCUGACACUGAGGCACGAAAAGCCUAGGGGAGCAAACAGG
rnacentral:rRNA from 1 species